CUCUUGAGCUUUAUUUGCUUAUGAAUUGAAUCAUAUUGGACUUGGACAUUAGAAUUAAAAUAGAUAUAAGUAAUAAAAAAUGAUCAAUACAUUAUUAAAUUUAAUUACGGGUUCAAAAAAAUGUUUAAUCUCAUCUCUGGUGAAUUCCCGCCAAACCUGACUAUUUAAGAGCUGAACGUGUUCUGUUCUCUUCAGUUUUCACGUGCUUUCCGUUUUAAAACAACCAAGCGAACAAUAUUCAAGCCAUGAAGCAUACUAACUUAGUAUUUUUUACUUUCUGUGUAUUGACUUAUUUAAGUGUUUCUGAAGGCCAGCAGCAACGUCCAAUAAAUCCCGAAUGUUUGGUAAAAGGCCUUUGUAGUAGCGAUGCUCCACCAGUAUAUGCAUCUACAGAUGGUGGAAAAACAUGCAAGACUUUUGGUAAUAUUUGCUUCCAUAAGGACGAGUGGUGCCAAAAUGAUUAUGAUGGUCUUCCUGAGUUGAAAUUGACACCCAAAGAGAACUGUCGUAGUUUUAUUUAAAGAAAAGAUCAUACUCACGGAAUCAAUAAACCGAAUAAACCUCCUCAAAAUGAUUAUCAUUUGAAAUACUUUUUUAUUGAUUGAUUAAAAAUCAAGCAAGUAAAAAUCAA